AUUAAACUUUGAACCUAAUGACACCCUAAUUUGUCUUCGGCAGGGCCUUACCGGAAGAGCUGGGCCACCAGGAUUGAAAGGGUGAUCCUGGAUUAAUGGGUGAGCCAGGAGAAUAUGGUUACCCAGGUGACAAGGGUGCGGUGGGAUUACCAGGACCUCCAGGCAUUCGAGGAAAACCUGGACCACCCGGGAAAAUUGGUGAAAUGGGACCACUAGGGCCUGCAGGCCCACCUGGCCCAGAGGGUUUUCCUGGAGAUAUUGGUGUUCCAGGUCCCAAUGGUCCACCUGGAGUGAAGGGUCUUCUAGGUUCAAGAGGACCACCAGGGCCUCCUGGGCCCAAAGGACUUGAGGUAAAGCUCCACUGUUGCUGUUUAAUAAUACAGUACAUCUGUAUCAACU
rnacentral:lncRNA from 1 species